UACGGGGGGGGCAAGCGUUGUUCGGAAUUACUGGGCGUAAAGAGUGUGUAGGCGGUGCUCUAAGUUCGGUGUGAAAUCUCCUGGCUUAACUGGGAGGGUGCGCCGGAAACUGGAGUGCUUGAGCGUGGGAGAGGAAAGCGGAAUUCCUGGUGUAGCGGUGAAAUGCGUAGAUAUCGGGAGGAACACCUGUGGUGUAGACGGCUUUCUGGACCAUAGCUGACGCUGAGACACGAAAGCGUGGGUAGCAAACAGG
rnacentral:rRNA from 1 species